rnacentral:ncRNA from 1 species
GACGACCGGCUGGACACGUCCGUGUCCGGCCCACAAGUGGAGGCUCCGAUCUCCCACCUGGCUGUCCCUCGGGACGGCGGGUCACCGGUCAGGCGGCCACCAUCGUUCCGUACGGACGAUGGAGUCGCCCGAUGUGCGCCCCGCGGUGGACCGCGGCGGUGCUCCGGUAUUCAUUGGAGCUGCCGCCUGUGUCCCGACCGGGGCAUUUUUG